AUUGAACGCUGGCGGCAGGCCUAACACAUGCAAGUCGAACGGUAACAGGAAGCAGCUUGCUGCUUUGCUGACGAGUGGCGGACGGGUGAGUAGUGUCUGGGAAACUGCCCGAUGGAGGGGGAUAACUACUGGAAACGGUAGCUAAUACCGCAUAACGUCGCAAGACCAAAGAGGGGGACCUUAGGGCCUCUUGCCAUCGGAUGUGCCCAGAUGGGAUUAGCUAGUAGGUGGGGUAACGGCUCACCUAGGCGACGAUCCCUAGCUGGUCUGAGAGGAUGACCAGCCACACUGGAACUGAGACACGGUCCAGACUCCUACGGGAGGCAGCAGUGGGGAAUAUUGCACAAAGGGCGCAAGCCUGAUGCAGCCAUGCCGCGUGUAUGAAGAAGGCCUUCGGGUUGUAAAGUACUUUCAGCGGGGAGGAAGGGAGUAAAGUUAAUACCUUUGCUCAUUGACGUUACCCGCAGAAGAAGCACCGGCUAACUCCGUG
rnacentral:rRNA from 1 species